CUCGCCGCGCGCGCCGGUGCGGGCGUCUCCGUCGCCCGCGGAGCGGACCCGCGCUUGGGGCCCGGGGUCGGAUCCUCCGCCGCCGCGGCGGGG
rnacentral:tRNA from 1 species